AUUGAACGCUGGCGGCAGGCCUAACACAUGCAAGUCGAGCGGGGUGAUGGUGCUUGCACUAUCACUUAGCGGCGGACGGGUGAGUAAUGCUUAGGAAUCUGCCUAUUAGUGGGGGACAACAUCUCGAAAGGGAUGCUAAUACCGCAUACGUCCUACGGGAGAAAGCAGGGGAUCACUUGUGACCUUGCGCUAAUAGAUGAGCCUAAGUUGGAUUAGCUAGUUGGUGGGGUAAAGGCCUACCAAGGCGACGAUCUGUAGCGGGUCUGAGAGGAUGAUCCGCCACACUGGGACUGAGACACGGCCCAGACUCCUACGGGAGGCAGCAGUGGGGAAUAUUGGACAAUGGGGGGAACCCUGAUCCAGCCAUGCCGCGUGUGUGAAGAAGGCCUUAUGGUUGUAAAGCACUUUAAGCGAGGAGGAGGCUCUUUUGGUUAAUACCCAAGAUGAGUGGACGUUACUCGCAGAAUAAGCACCGGCUAACUCUGUGCCAGCCGCCGCAGUAA
rnacentral:rRNA from 1 species